CGUACAUGUUUUUCACGUCAAGGAGUACUGGGGCAUGGUCGGACCAUGUGAUUUGCUUUAUUUCACAGGUGUGGAUUUGGUGUUGCCCUGAGAUGAGGAACCCAUCUAUCCGAGAGUAGGAGUUGUGGACAUGUGAGAAAUGAGUGAACGUUUUGUCCCCCGGGUGUGUGGUUCUCCAUGCGUCAUAGAAAUGGUGUUCGUGUAUGGGUUUCUGCAGGGCUUUGCAUUGUCUGUUCAGGGGGCGUUGUCGACGCCAGUGUUGCGAUAGUGUGGUGUCCAAUUUGGGAUCUAUGAUAUGGUUGAAAUCUCCACAGAUUAUCGUGAUUCCCUGUUGCAUAGCGUUUGGUUUUUUAAAGAAUGCUCUGUAGGAAAUUUCGUUGGUUC